rnacentral:lncRNA from 1 species
GAACAGUCGUAUGAAGAAGUUUAGGUCUUUUCUGCCCCAGCUGCUGUGCAGCAGCCCAAAGUCCCAUUCUGGUAGCCAAGGUCAGCAAGGUCCUCCGAACAGCAACAAGGAGAAUGUGGCCGCGUGGGACGGCCAGCACGCGCGAUCGGAGGGCAGGGCACACAUCUCGGACCCCUACCAACAGGGCACCAGUGAGCCACUUGCUCUUGGUAGCCCCAUCUCCUCUGCUCCCCUCUCCCCACCUCUGGAUUUCCUCAGGAACAAAUGCACUGAUGGGUUCAUGGAGGUCGUGGAGGAGCAGGAAGAGGUAUGGGCAAGAGGCAGGAAGGGAGGGAGAACCUUGCUUUUCUUUGUUUAGGCAUUUAGUCAGAAGUGUCCCAUGCAGCUCUCUGUCUCUCGCUGUUGUUUGUUCGUGACAUGGUGGUAUUGGAGGAUGGGACCCAAGAGUCCAAAAGGCAGCAGGCAGUAUUGUGAUUAGGGCAGUUUCCUUGCAGUCUGAAGGUCUCUGGUUUGAAUCCCACCCCUAGAGUAGUUACCAUGAGUACUCACCUUGAAUCGCU